rnacentral:rRNA from 1 species
GAUGAACGCUGGCGGCGUGCUUAACACAUGCAAGUCGAACGGGAAACCUAUUAUUGAAACUUCGGUCGAUUUAAUUUGUUUCUAGUGGCGGACGGGUGAGUAACGCGUGGGUAACCUGCCCUAUACAGGGGGAUAACAACCAGAAAUGGUUGCUAAUACCGCAUAAGCGCACGGGACCGCACGGUCCAGUGUGAAAAACUCCGGUGGUAUAGGAUGGACCCGCGUUGGAUUAGCUAGUUGGUGGGGUAACGGCCCACCAAGGCAACGAUCCAUAGCCGGCCUGAGAGGGUGAACGGCCACAUUGGGACUGAGACACGGCCCAGACUCCUACGGGAGGCAGCAGUGGGGAAUAUUGCACAAUGGGGGAAACCCUGAUGCAGCGACGCCGCGUGAAGGAAGAAGUAUCUCGGUAUGUAAACUUCUAUCAGCAGGGAAGAUAGUGACGGUACCUGACUAAGAAGCCCCGGCUAACUACGUGCCAGCCGCCGCCGUAA